AUUGAACGCUGGCGGCAGGCUUAACACAUGCAAGUCGAGCGAGCGGCGGACUGGUGGGUAAUGUCUGGGAAACUGCCUGAUGGAGGGGGAUAACUACUGGAAACGGUGGCUAAUACCGCAUACCAUCAGAUGUGCCAAGGUGGGAUUAGAUAGUAGGGGGGGUAAUGGCUCACCUAGGCGACGAUCCCUAGCUGGUCUGAGAGGAUGACCAGCCACACUGGAACUGAGACACGGUCCAGACUCCUACGGGAGGCAGCAGUGGGGAAUAUUAGGCAAUGGGCGCAAGCCUGAUCGAGCCAUGCCGCGUGUGUGAAGAAGGCUUUCGGGUUGUAAAGCUCUGUUGGCGGGGAGGCGUUACCCGACGAGAAAGCAACGGCUAACUACGUGCCAGCAGCCGCGGUAAUAC
rnacentral:rRNA from 1 species